rnacentral:rRNA from 1 species
AUUGAACGCUGGCGGCAGGCCUAACACAUGCAAGUCGGGCGAGCGGCAGACGGGUGAAUAAUGUAUGGCGAUCUGCCUGAUGGCGGGGUAUAACUACGGAAAACUGUCGCUAAUACCGCAUACCCUCAUAUCACCCUAUAUGGUGAUAGCUAGUAGGUAAUGUAACGGCUUACAUAGGCGACGAUCCCUAGCUGGUCUGAGCGGAUGAUCAGCCACACUGGGACUGAGACACGGCCCAGACUCCUACGGGAGGCAGCAGUGGGGAAUAUUGUACAAUGGGCGCAAGCCUGAUGCAGCCAUGCCGCGUGUAUGAAGAAGGCCUUCGGGUUGUAAAGUACUUUCAGUCGGGAGGCGUUACCGACAGAAGAAGCACCGGCUAACUCCGUGCCAGCAGCCGCGGUAAUUC